GUGGGGAAUCUUGCACAAUGGGCGAAAGCCUGAUGCAGCGACGCCGCGUGCGGGAUGAAGGCCUUCGGGUUGUAAACCGCUUUCAGCAGGGACGAGGCCGCAAGGUGACGGUACCUGCAGAAGAAGCCCCGGCUAACUACGUGCCAGCAGCCGCGGUAAUACGUAGGGGGCAAGCGUUAUCCGGAUUCAUUGGGCGUAAAGAGCUCGUAGGCGGCCCGUUAGGUCAGGAGUCAAAUUCGGGGGCUCAACCCCCGCGCGCUCCUGAUACCGGCGGGCUUGAGUUUGGUAGGGGAAGGUGGAAUUCCCAGUGUAGCGGUGGAAUGCGCAGAUAUUGGGAAGAACACCGGUGGCGAAGGCGGCCUUCUGGGCCAUAACUGACGCUGAGGAGCGAAAGCUAGGGGAGCGAACAGGAUUAGAAACCCGAGUAGUCC
rnacentral:rRNA from 1 species